rnacentral:rRNA from 1 species
AUGGAUCGGGGCGAGCUCGGGCGGUCACGAAUGAACAAGAGGCGGAGAGAGAAGAAAAUAAUGGAGAGGAAAGAGGAGGCAGAUGGGCUGAGAGGAGAUCGCCGGCGUGGCCCUCGUCGUCGGCGGCCGGCGGGUGCUCUCCGGUGGGGCGCGCGGAAACAGGUGACAAGCAUCUCACGCGCAUGGCGGCGCAGAGGGGACCUAGCGAAACGUCUUUUUUACUCGUGCCCGAAUGGCUUGUGUGGGGCGGACGAGCUAUGGGCCAGAGUUGGCCCAUCUGACCGAGCAGACUCGCCUGGCUCCAGCCCAACAUCGACUACGCUCCGAAACAAUUGUCAGCGAACGAAACCGUUUUAG